rnacentral:rRNA from 1 species
CCUACGGGUGGCAGCAGUGGGGAAUAUUGCACAAUGGGGGAAACCCUGAUGCAGCGACGCCGCGUGAGUGAAGAAGUAAUUCGUUAUGUAAAGCUCUUUCAGCAGGGAAGAAAAGGACGGUACCUGAGUAAGAAGCCCCGGCUAACUACGUGCCAGCAGCCGCGGCAAAACGUAGGGGGCAAGCGUAAUCCGGAUUUAGUGGGUGUAAAGGGAGCGUAGACGGCAGUGCAAGUCUGGAGUGGAAGGCGGGGGGUCAACCCCCGGACUGCUCUGGAAACUGUACGGCUGGAGUGCAGGAGAGGUAGGUGGAAUUCCUAGUGUAGCGGUGAAAUGCGUAGAUAUUAGGAGGAACACCAGUUGCGAAGGCGGCUUACUGGACUGUAACUGACGUUGAGGCUCGAAAGCGUGGGGAGCAAACAGGAUUAGAUACCCCGGUAGUC